rnacentral:rRNA from 1 species
UACGGAGGGAGCUAGCGUUGUUCGGAAUUACUGGGCGUAAAGCGUGCGUAGGCGGUUAUUCAAGUCAGAGGUGAAAGCCCGGGGCUCAACCCCGGAACGGCCUUUGAAACUAGGUAACUAGAAUCUUGGAGAGGUUAGUGGAAUUCCGAGUGUAGAGGUGAAAUUCGUAGAUAUUCGGAAGAACACCAGUGGCGAAGGCGGCUCACUGGACCGGUACUGACGCUGAUGCGCGAAAGCGUGGGGAGCAAACGGGG